GACGAACGCUGGCGGCGUGCUUAACACAUGCAAGUCGAACGGAAAGGCCCUGCUUUUGUGGGGUGCUCGAGUGGCGAACGGGUGAGUAACACGUGAGUAACCUGCCCUUGACUUUGGGAUAACUUCAGGAAACUGGGGCUAAUACCGGAUAGGAGCUCCUGCUGCAUGGUGGGGGUUGGAAAGUUUCGGCGGUUGGGGAUGGACUCGCGGCUUAUCAGCUUGUUGGUGGGGUAGUGGCUUACCAAGGCUUUGACGGGUAGCCGGCCUUGGAGGGUGGCCGGCCACAAUGGGACUGGGGUACGGCCCAGAAUCCUACGGGAGGGAACAGUUGGGAAUAUUGCCCAAUGGGCCGAAGCCUGAUGCAGCCACGCCGCGUUCGGGAAGACGGCCUUCGGGGUGGAAACCGCUUUCGCCUGUGACGAAGCGUGAGUGACGGUAAUGGGUAAAGAAGCACCGGCUAACUACGUG
rnacentral:rRNA from 1 species